rnacentral:rRNA from 1 species
UGAACGCUGGCGGCAGGCCUAACACAUGCAAGUCGAACGGUAACAGAAAGAGCUUGCUCUUUGCUGACGAGUGGCGGACGGGUGAGUAACGCGUAGGAAUCUACCAUUCAGUGGGGGAUAGCCCGGAGAAAUCCGGAUUAAUACCGCAUACGCUCUACGGAGGAAAAGGGGCCUCUUCUUGAAAGCUCCUGCUGAUUGAUGAGCCUGCGUUGGAUUAGCUAGUUGGUAGGGUAAAGGCUUACCAAGGCGACGAUCUAUAGCUGGUCUGAGAGGAUGAUCAGCCACACUGGGACUGAGACACGGCCCAGACUCCUACGGGAGGCAGCAGUGGGGAAUAUUGGACAAUGGGGGCAACCCUGAUCCAGCCAUGCCGCGUGUGUGAAGAAGGCCUUCGGGUUGUAAAGCACUUUCAGUGGGGAGGAAUUGUAGGAUGUUAAUAGCAUCUUAUUUGACGUUACCCACAGAAGAAGCACCGGCUAACUCC